AUGUUGCCCUGGAGUGAACAAAGGGAAGAGAGGAAAGUUUGACCUAUUUCAGUUUGAGAUUGCAUCUAUUGGAUAAUGCCUUUACCUGCCAUGGAUAACAGAUAUUAGGAAUCCAGCAGAGCAGAUAGAUUCAAGAUCAGCCCGUGAUAUCUUAUGAGUCCAACAAGCAUUUAUCUGUCCAUCAAACCCACAAGUUGACUGCAUCCCGGAUGCUGAUAUGCCUUUGACGUAUUCCUGGCACACCCCAAAAAAAGAGGGGAAAAAACCUACAGCCCUCUGCUCAGGAGUUUUUGCCUUCAAAAACCGGACAGCAAUUGAUAGAGUUUGACGAUCAAGCUGCAGGCAAAAAGACCAUAUGAGCACGAGAAUCAACAAAAAAAAACUCUUCACUCAGUACAAGUAUAUAAUGAGAAACAGACAGGGGAAGCAUUGUUUUUAAGACUCUUCAACGGAUGCAUCACUCAACCUUUUUUAGAUACCCACCAAAUUAAGACUCAUCCCAGCCAUCUAUAACUCUUUGGGAGUUGCUUCCAAAGACAGCAAAAUAUUGUUUAAUCACAUGCAUAAUGUUACCUCCCAUCCCUUAAUCGGUAUUAUUCAUCUCUGUACUACCUGACUUCCUUCAGUUCUAUCAGUAGAUGAAUUUUGUCAGAUCAACUGUUCGAGUCUUCUAUGCUACCAUGUAGAAAAACGUUGUGGAAUUAGGAACUACUCCAUCGAAUGUUUGUGCUGCCUAUCGAAGCAGCAGACUGGCCUAUAGCAUUUUACUGGAUUAAGAGGGUUCUCUGACCCUUUGAGAGCAACAUCAAGUAUCUCCUGGCCUUCUCAGAGCAAAGGAGAGUAGGAUUGCCUAACCUACAAGUAUACGCUAUAUUUGUGAUAUUUAUUUAUCUCAUAUGACAAUCUGAGUAUACAAACUUCCCCUUUCCUCGCACACCGGAUUGCUGCUACAGUAAUACAGUUGGAGAAGAUGCAACUGAUUAUUCAUAAUCGCCUUAUGAUUAAUCCAAUUGCAGAUUUGCAGGGGUAUCAAGUGGAGUGAUGCAACUGAUUAUUCAUUAUUGCCAGAAGAAUAAGAAUAGUAUUCGCUCCUUUCUCAUACAGAAACUGGAAUUUGUCUCUCUCUAUCACACACAGAGAGACACACAUGGACAAGAUAAAGAUAUUCUACAAAAGCCUAAGUCUUUGUCUUUUUUCCUAUUGAAAUGGGACAAAAUACCGACAUGCCUCAAUGCUACAUAUGCUAAUGGAUACAUUCUUAAUAAUUAUGUAACGCACCUUAUUAUUAUUCUUACUGUUAUUAGGAUAAGUAUGUAACUGA